rnacentral:rRNA from 1 species
UACGUAGGGCGCAAGCGUUAUCCGGAAUUAUUGGGCGUAAAGAGCUCGUAGGCGGUUUGUCGCGUCUGCCGUGAAAGUCCGGGCUCAACUCCGGAUCUGCGGUGGUACGGGCAGACUAGAGUGAUGUAGGGGAGACUGGAAUUCCUGGUGUAGCGGUGAAAUGCGCAGAUAUCAGGAGGAACACCGAUGGCGAAGGCAGAUCUCUGGGCCGUAACUGACGCUGAGGAGCGAAAGCAUGGGGAGCGAACAGG